rnacentral:rRNA from 1 species
GACGAACGCUGGCGGCGUGCUUAACACAUGCAAGUCGAACGGAAAGGCCCUGCUUUUGUGGGGUGCUCGAGUGGCGAACGGGUGAGUAACACGUGAGUAACCUGCCCUUGACUUUGGGAUAACUUCAGGAAACUGGGGCUAAUACCGGAUAGGAGCUCCUGCUGCAUGGUGGGGGUUGGAAAGUUUCGGCGGUUGGGGAUGGACUCGCGGCUUAUCAGCUUGUUGGUGGGGUAGUGGCUUACCAAGGCUUUGACGGGUAGCCGGCCUGAGAGGGUGACCGGCCACAUUGGGACUGAGAUACGGCCCAGACUCCUACGGGAGGCAGCAGUGGGGAAUAUUGCACAAUGGGCGGAAGCCUGAUGCAGCAACGCCGCGUGCGGGAUGACGGCCUUCGGGUUGUAAACCGCUUUCGCCUGUAACGAAGCGUGAGUGACGGUAAUGGGUAAAGAAGCACCGGCUAACUACGU